rnacentral:rRNA from 1 species
UGCCCUAGACAGGGGGAGUAACUAUUGGAAACGAUAGCUAAGACCGCAUAGGUACGGACACUGCAUGGUGACCGUAUUAAAAGUGCCUCAAAGCACUGGUAGAGGAUGGACUUAUGGCGCAUUAGCUGGUUGGCGGGGUAACGGCCCACCAAGGCGACGAUGCGUAGCCGACCUGAGAGGGUGACCGGCCACACUGGGACUGAGACACGGCCCAGACUCCUACGGGAGGCAGCAUG